AUUGAACGCUGGCGGCAGGCCUAACACAUGCAAGUCGAACGAGUGGCGGACGGGUGAGUAAUGUCUGGGAAACUGCCUGAUGGAGGGGGAUAACUACUGGAAACGGCAGCUAAUACCGCAUACCAUCAGAUGUGCCCAGAUGGGAUUAGCUAGUUGGGGGGGGAACGGCACACCCAGGCGACGAACCCUAGCUGGUCUGAGAGGAUGACCAGCCACACUGGAACUGAGACACGGUCCAGACUCCUACGUGAGGCAGCAUUGGGGAAUAUUGCACGAUGGGCGCAAGCCUGAUUCAGCAAUGCCGCGUGUAUGAAGAAGUCCUUCGGGUUGUAAAGUACUUUCGGCGGGGAGGCGUUACCCGCAGAAGAAGCACCGGCGAACUCCGUGCCAGCCGCCGCGGUAAUAC
rnacentral:rRNA from 1 species